GUAGUCAUGGCCAAGUGGUUAAGGCAAUGGAUUUGAAAUCCAUUGGGGUUUCCCUACAAAGGUUCACAUCCUGCUGACUACG